GUCGCUUCUCGACCUUAUGGCUAAGAUCAAAGUGUAGUAUCUGUUCUUAUAAGCUUAACAUCUGAUAGAUCCUCCAUCGGAGGACAACAAAUGUUAUACUGUACAAAGAUCUCAAAUUUUU
rnacentral:snRNA from 12 species